GACGUAGGGGGCGAGCGUUGUCCGGAUUUAUUGGGCGUAAAGAGCUCGUAGGCGGUCUGUUGCGUCCGCUGUGAAAACCCGGGGCUUAACCCCUGGCUUGCAGUGGAUACGGACAGACUAGAGGUAGGUAGGGGAGAAUGGAAUUCCCGGUGUAGCGGUGAAAUGCGCAGAUAUCGGGAGGAACACCUAUGGCGAAGGCAGCUCGCUGGGACGGUACUGACGCUGAGACGCGAAAGCGUGGGGAGCAAACAGG
rnacentral:rRNA from 1 species